GGAAUUUUGCGCAAUGGGCGAAAGCCUGACGCAGCGACGCCGCGUGUGCGAUGAAGGCCUUUGGGUCGUAAAGCACUGUCGGUCGGGACGAAAUCUCAUACGAUAACACCGUAUGAGUUUGACGGUACCGGCAAAGGAAGCACCGGCUAACUCUGUGCCAGCAGCCGCGGUAAUACAGAGGGUGCAAACGUUGCUCGGAAUUAUUGGGCGUAAAGCGCGUGUAGGCGGCCUCGUAAGUCGACUGUGAAAG
rnacentral:rRNA from 1 species